GUGCUUUAUUUUAUUUAAUGUAAGACCUAGGCAUUGGCAAGUAAAAAACGAAAACAGUUAUGGUCCUUUCUGUUUCCCUACUUUUCUAACGUCCUGGUUUUCUUUUGGUAAUUUUUUUCACUCUGAAAUUUCCCUUUUAUGUCUCUUUAAAGAUUCAUUUACUGAAAAUGAGUAACUUUAAAUGGAUUAAAAGAUUGAAUGAAUAACACUAGGUAUACAGCUGCUCUUAGCAAUAAUGUAAACAUUCUGAUCAUCAUCUUUUAAAAGCUUGCAUAUUGCACAUGAUUUUAAAACGCAGCAAUGAAUCAGACUAUGAGUAAACGCCAUGAUGUAUUUAUAUGAAUUUAAAGCAAAGGUCAAAAUCUAGAACGUCAUAUUAACCUAUGACCUUGACCUCAAUUUCAAGGUCACAAACCAAGGACCUUAAAUCAAAAGACCCUAGGUCUUUAAUAUGUUUGGUUAAUGAGUAAUAUCACUUUACGCGUAAUUCUAAAUGUAAGAUGGGCAAAAACUCCCAUUUAUUGUCUGCGCACCCUUUCAACCAAAA
rnacentral:lncRNA from 1 species